rnacentral:rRNA from 1 species
UUGAACGCUGGCGGCAGGCCUAACACAUGCAAGUCGGGCGGUUUCAGGGAGAAGCUUGCUUCUCUGCUGACGAGCGGCGGACGGGUGAGUAAUGUAUGGGGAUCUGCCUGAUGGAGGGGGAUAACUACUGGAAACGGUAGCUAAUACCGCAUAAUGUCUUCGGACCAAAGCGGGGGACCUUCGGGCCUCGCGCCAUCAGAUGAACCCAUAUGGGAUUAGCUUGUAGGUGAGGUAAUGGCUCACCUAGGCGACGAUCCCUAGCUGGUCUGAGAGGAUGAUCAGCCACACUGGGACUGAGACACGGCCCACACUCCUACGGGAGGCAGCAGUGGGGAAUAUUGCACAAUGGGCGCAAGCCUGAUGCAGCCAUGCCGCGUGUAUGAAGAAGGCCUUCGGGUUGUAAAGUACUUUCAGUCGGGAGGAAGGUGGUGAGCUUAAUACGCUCAUCAAUUGACGUUACCGACAGAAGAAACACCGGCUAACUCCGUGCCAGCAGCCGCGGGAAUACGGAGGGUGCACGCGUUAAUCGGAAUUACUGGCCGUAAAGCGCACGCAGGCGGUUGACUGAGUCAGAUGUGAAAUCCCCGGGCUUAACCCGGGAAUUGCAUCUGAUACUGGUCAUCUAGAGUCUUGUAGAGGGCGGUAGAAUUCCAUGUGUAGCGGUGAAAUGCGUAGAGAUGUGGAGGAA